GAAUUUACUUGGGCGUAAAGAGUGCGUAGGUGGUUAGGUAAGUUUUUGGUAAAAUCAUGGGGCUCAACUCCAUGGCUACCAAAGAUACUGCCUGACUUGAGACUGGAAGAGGCAAGCGGAAUUGCUGGUGGAGGGGUUAAAUCCGUUGAUAUCAGCAAGAACACCAAAGGCGAAGGCAGCUUGCUAGUACAGUUCUGACACUGUUGCACGAAAGCGUGGGUAGCGAAUGGGAUUAGAUACCCCAGUAGUCCACGCCGUAAACGAUGGAUACUAGACAUUGGUAGUAUCGACCCUAUCAGUGUCGUUUAACCAAGCUAACGCGUUAAGUAUCCCGCCUGGGGAGUACGGUCGCAAGACUAAAACUCAAAGGAAUUGACGGGGACCCGCACAAGCGGUGGAGCAUGUGGUUUAAUUCGACAUUAAGCGAGGAACCUCACCAAGGCUUGACAUCUAGCUGCACACCUUAUGAAAGUAAGGCUCCUUCGAGGGUGCUAGACAGGUGCUGCAUGGUUGUCGUCAGCUCGUGUCGUGAGAUGUACGGUUAAGUCCGGAAACGAGCGCAACCCCUAUUGUAUGUUAAAUUUUCAUAUGAGACUGCCCUGGUUAACAGGGAGGAAGGUGGGGACGACGUCAAAUCAGCAUGGCUCUUACGCCUGGGCUACACACGUGCUACAAUGGCCAGUACAAUGGG
rnacentral:rRNA from 1 species